rnacentral:rRNA from 1 species
GUGGGGAAUAUUGGACAAUGGGCGAAAGCCUGAUCCAGCCAUGCCGCGUGUGUGAAGAAGGUCUUCGGAUUGUAAAGCACUUUAAGUUGGGAGGAAGGGCAGUAAGUUAAUACCUUGCUGUUUUGACGUUACCGACAGAAUAAGCACCGGCUAACUUCGUGCCAGCAGCCGCGGUAAUACGAAGGGUGCAAGCGUUAAUCGGAAUUACUGGGCGUAAAGCGCGCGUAGGUGGUUUUGUAAGUUGGAGGUGAAAUCCCCGGGCUCAACCUGGGAACUGCCUCCAAAACUGCAUGACUAGAGUACGGUAGAGGGUAGUGGAAUUUCCUGUGUAGCGGUGAAAUGCGUAGAUAUAGGAAGGAACACCAGUGGCGAAGGCGACUACCUGGACUGAUACUGACACUGAGGUACGAAAGCGUGGGGAGCAAACAGGAUUAGAUACCCGUGUAGUCC